rnacentral:tRNA from 1 species
GCUUUUGGUUCAGUGGUAGAAUGCUCGCCUGCAACGAGGGCGCCCGGGAUUCGAUUCCCGGCCGAUGAUUUGGAGCG